ACGGAAGUUUAAUCAAUUAAACUUUCGUGGCGAACGGGUGAGUAACGCGUAAGCAAUCUGCCCCUAAGACGAGGAUAACAGUUGGAAACGACUGCUAAGACUGGAUAGUAGACAAGAAGGCAUCUUCUUGUUUUUAAAAGACCUAUUAAUAGGUAUGCUUAGGGAGGAGCUUGCGUCACAUUAGUUAGUUGGUGGGGUAAAGGCCUACCAAGACUAUGAUGUGUAGCCGGGCUGAGAGGUUGAACGGCCACAUUGGGACUGAGACACGGCCCAAACUCCUACGGGAGGCAGCAGUAGGGAAUUUUCGGCAAUGGAGGAAACUCUGACCGAGCAACGCCGCGUGAACGAUGAAGUAUUUCGGUACGUAAAGUUCUUUUAUUAGGGAAGAAUAAAUGAUGGAAAAAUCAUUCUGACGGUACCUAAUGAAUAAGCCCCGGCUAACUAUGUGCCAGCAGCCGCGGUAAUACAUAGGGGGCAAGCGUUAUCCGGAAUUAUUGGGCGUAAAGGGUGCGUAGGCUGUUAAAUAAGUUUAUGGUCUAAGUGCAAUGCUCAACAUUGUGAUGCUAUAAAAAACUGUUUAGCU
rnacentral:rRNA from 1 species